GACGAACGCUGGCGGCGUGCUUAACACAUGCAAGUCGAACGCUGAAGCUCAGCUUUUGUUGGGUGGAUGAGUGGCGAACGGGUGAGUAACACGUGAGUAACCUGCCCCCUUCUUUGGGAUAACGCCCGGAAACGGGUGCUAAUACUGGAUAUUCACUGGUCUUCGCAUGGGGGUUGGUGGAAAGGGUUUUUCUGGUGGGGGAUGGGCUCGCGGCCUAUCAGCUUGUUGGUGGGGUGAUGGCCUACCAAGGCUUUGACGGGUAGCAGGCCUGAGAGGGUGACCGGUCACAGUGGGACUGAGAUACGGCCCAGACUGAUACGGGAGGCAGCAGUGGGGAAUAUUGCGCAAUGGGCGCAAGCAUGAUGCAGCGACGCCGCGUGAGGGAUGGAGGCCUGCGGGUUGUGAACCUCUUUCGCUCAUGGUCAAGCCGCAACAAUGGUUGUGGUGAGGGUAGUGGGUAAAGAAGCGCCGGCUAACUACGUG
rnacentral:rRNA from 1 species